UCUCUGGUCGUAUAUCGGUUAGUACACGCGCUUGUCAUCCAUUACGGAACGCGCGAAAGCGGGGUUCGACUCCCCGCCAGAGAG